CAGAGUUGCAAAACUCCCACAAACCAUCGCGAAUCUUACCCGUACGGUUGCCUCGGCGCUGGCGGUCCGGAAGGCCCUCGGGCCCCCCCGGAUCCUCGGGUCUCCCGCUCGCGGGAGGCUGCCCGCCGGAGUGCCGAAACCAAACUCUUGAUAUUUUAUGUCUCUCUGAGUAAACUUUUAAAUAAGUCA
rnacentral:misc_RNA from 1 species